rnacentral:rRNA from 1 species
CCCUUAGAUGUUCUGGGCUGCACGCGCGCUACACUGAUGCGCUCAACGAGUUUACGACCUUGCCCGGAAGGGUUGGGUAAUCUUUUUAAAACGCAUCGUGAUGGGGAUAGAUUAUUGCAAUUAUUAAUCUUUAACGAGGAAUUCCUAGUAAGCGCGAGUCAUCAGCUCGUGCUGAUUACGUCCCUGCCCUUUGUACACACCGCCCGUCGCUCCUACCGAUUGAAUGGUCCGGUGAAGCCUCGGGAUUGUGGCGAGUUCCCUUUAUUGGGAGUUUGUCGCGAGAACUUGUCUAAACCUUAUCAUUUAGAGGAAGGUGAAGUCGUAACA